AUGGGUGCACCAACACGUACGUAUAUCAUCCAACCUCUCUUCAGGUCACGGCUCCUCUCAAUCGUGUGCCGCCCGGUCUCUUCUCGACCAAACACUAUGGAGCCGACGCGCCGCACCAAGCGCCCCGCCGGGGACGGCGACGACGAUGUGGAGGCGGCCGCCGAAGCACGACGCUACUACGGUGCCGCGCCCUACGACUUCCUCGACGAUGACGAUCUCGAUGGCGUCUCCUCGCAAGGCACCGGCGGCGACAUCGGGUUCCAGGACGAGAGCGACAGCUUCGGGGAGCACGCGGCGCGAGGAGGCACCAAGGAGGAGGCCUGGCUGGGCGCCACCGACGUCGACGGCGAGUCCCCCGGCCCCUCCGCCAUGACGAAGCGCGCGAGGAAGGCCCUGGAGAGGCAGGAGGAGGACGAGCGGAUCCUCGAGGGCGUCGUCGGCUCCCGCGCCGUCUUCGACAUCAAGAAGCGGAUCGCCGGCCUCCUCCAGCCCGGCGAGACGGCCCCGCGCGCGCUGCGGAGGCUCAAGGGAGAUAAACGUGGCGGGGGGAAGGGGAUGGACGAGGCGGCGCGGUGCGCGUUCGACGAGCUGAUGGACGCCUCCGCGGAGCUCGUGCGGCGCGGCGACCUCGACGCGUACACGGACGACCGCGAGGCCUUUGAGCGCGGCGCCUGGGACUACGAGCACGCGCGUUGCCGUCGCCGCCUGGCGCGUGAGGCUCCAGAAGACGACGAAGCUGACCAACAGACCGCCGCCGUGACCCGUGACAGUUACGUCGACAUGUUCGGAGACGACACUGUCGGCGCCGGCUCGAAGACCACGGCGGAAUUGUCAAGUGGACACGCAGCUAAUUCUGAACAGCCUGCAGCGCAGCUUGAUGCUUCGAGUGUGGCGGCGGCGGCGGAGGAAGCCGGCGGCGUCGUGGGCUGGGACUACGUGUACGAUCCGUCGUCGGGCUACUACUACAGCGGCAGCACAGGGUACUACUACUACGACGCCGCGUCCGGGUCCGCGUCCACUGGCACAUGA
rnacentral:rRNA from 1 species